rnacentral:rRNA from 1 species
GUAGGUGGCAAGCGUUGUCCGGAAUUAUUGGGCGUAAAGCGCGCGCAGGCGGUUCUUUAAGUCUGAUGUGAAAGCCCACGGGCUCAACCGUGGAGGGUCAUUGGAAACUGGAGAACUUGAGUACAGAAGAGGAAAGCGGAAUUCCACGUGUAGCGGUGAAAUGCGUAGAGAUGUGGAGGAACACCAGUGGCGAAGGCGGCUUUCUGGUCUGUAACUGACGCUGAGGCGCGAAAGCGUGGGGAGCAAACAGGAUUAGAUACCCUGGUAGUCCGCGCCGUAAACGAUGAGUGCUAAGUGUUAGGGGGUUUCCGCCCCUUAGUGCUGCAGCUAACGCAUUAAGCACUCCGCCUGGGGAGUACGGCCGCAAGGCUG